UGUAACCAAGUAGAAUAAUAUUCUACAGGUAAUGAGUUUACUGCUUUAUAUAUUGACAUAUGAAAUAAGUGGAUGUAUGCCUUUAAGAACAUAAAUCAAGUUAGAGUGUUAUGCACAUGUGAAAAAUGUGGUUUUAACUUAAGUCUUUCUUUAUUUUAUUGGUUCAUUAGAGUUAAGUCCCGCCCGCACCUAUGUGUUAUGUAUUUUGAGUGGUUGUUUGCGGGGGUUGAUUGACAAGGUGGGAAUGCGAUAUGCAAGCUAUGAGAGAGACGCGCUGUAUGCGGUAAUAGAGUGGUGAAUGAUCUACAAGUUUACAAGUUUAAAAUUUUGAACUGUAAUAUUGAUUGCAUGUGAAACACAUGAUUCAUGUUUAUUUGUGUUUAUUGCGAGUUCGCUGUGAGUGUUUAUAAAUGUAACCCCUCAUAAUUAGGGUGGUUAAUGGACUCUUAAUUUGAAGAGUAGUUGUAGUGAUGCUAUUCUCCACUAGAGGGCGCUCCUCCGUGACGAGCGCAAUAAUUGAGAAAAGAGCCAUUUUUUACAAAUGAGAGCGGAGAUAGAAGAUUGUUGAUUUCAGAGUGCAAAUAUUUUAAAAGAGAGCAAUAUAAAGUGUGAAGAAACUGUUUUAAGUUCUUUUCCAGUCGAAUCCGGGGGGAAGAAACAUCUUUUUGUACUUUUAUUUCGAGGAACUCCGGUUGGUUUUUUUCCCUCCUUCUCUUGUUUGCUGUUGAUGUGUGCUUCUUCGAUCGUGGACGAGUGAACGGCGAGCCAACAGUGCCUAGUUGAUGUCGCAACGCAUCCUUCUUUGCAGCACAUUCAGCAUCCUUAUUCUGUCAUCAAUCCCUGGAUACAGAUAAGAGAAUACAACACACCACACUCUUUGGAUACCUUGAGUGAAACUGAGUUAAGACUACCCGGGUAGUAAAUCUUUUCUGUCACGUGACUACUUUUACUUUUUUUUUUUUACUUUUUUUCAUAUUUUUCUUCUUCAAAUUUUUUCUUCCUGGAAGGAUCUGACUUUAUCGAAGAGACAAAUAGUAACACAAGGAAAAGACUCUGAACAGUGUUUUGGGAAACCUUUCUUUUAUUGAUCAUUCCAAACAGGCCUGAUUGUAUUCCCUUUUAGUUUCGUUUGACUGUUUGCAAACUUUGAACUAUUUUUUCCAAUUGAUGGUACCAAUACAUUUUUUUCCUUCUUCCUUAACAAGUUGUAGUGAAAUUGCUGUUUCAAAUCCUCCUUACGAACUUAGACGUUAACUAUACGGUCACGCUACUGUGCCCAUUCAUCCUCAUUAGCUCAUUCGAAUACUAGAGCGAUACAACGGGUUACAUAAAAAAAAUAAAUAAAUAAAUAAAUAAAUAAUAUAUAUAUAUAUAUAUAUAUAUAUAAAUAAUAUAGGAGGUGGAAGAAGAAGAGGAGAGGGUAGAUGUAAAUUGCCCUUUGCAGCUGGGGGAUCAUUUACAAACGCAGCAGUGUUUACAAUCGAUCACCCAUCUCACUCUCACUUCUUCCCCCUCCCGUCUGUCUGGGCUCAGAUACAAAUCUGAAUGGCUAGGGGUUUUUCCAUGCCCUCCCGAUCUCAAACGUGGAGAUCAGGAAGGAAUGGAAAGCCUAUGGGAGCUGCAGCGUUCAUGGACAGAAAGAAACCGCUUGUCGAGCCAUCCACGCGCGGCCCCUUUAUUAACGCGCCCUCAUGGCAGCCGCAGCCUGCCAGAAGUGCGUCCCAAAAACACCAGCAGCUCCACAUACACAGCAGCCAGAGGAGCGUGCGCUGCCGGACGCGAUGACGUAAAACACAGAAGUCAUUGUCAUCCAGCAACUCAUCCUCGUCAGCCCCGGGGGAGCCGAGAGAGAAUACAACUCUCUCAAACUUCCCAAGGUGCUCACCUGCAAGCCUCAUGAUUGCAGCCACCGUUUUGCCUCAGCACAAACGGGGCCAGAAUCACCAGGAACAGAUGCGGACACCUCUUUCCUUGAGAAGAGUGCCAAAUGAGAACGGAGCAUCCCGAUAGGGAGAUGCUCACAGUAAAUAACAAAAAAACACACAAACAGUGCCCUCAAUCACUGUCUAUGCACGUUCCUCUCCCUGACAGACAAUGCCCAGAAAUGUGUAUAUCAAGUGUCAAAACCUGGGACACGGAUGAACACACUUUCUUGAAACGUUUGUAAGGCAUAAUAUAGAUACCCUUACCAGAGUCCAUACAAUCGCGAUCAGACAGAACAGUCCCGAAAGGCGAGAAGAUACUGACUGAUUCUCUAGGCGCUCCUUAUAUACUUCUGGGUCGUACUAUGAUGACGUCAUAGGCUUUCGCGGGCCAAUAUGAUUGGAGUUUUUUGAUACUUGGCUUUCGGACAUCGGCUCACAUGUGACAUUCCCCAAUGCGAUUUGAAUGCAGAGUUGAAGUUUCCUUCGAAAGGGAACAGUACACCAGUGACACAAUGAAUCACAAGUGAUGUAAGACCAACUAUAAUUAAGUAGAUGGAACUAAAUUUUUACAUUUGGUAUACUAAAUUGAGUGCAGCUUCUCAGCUGCACUCAAUUUAGCCAUAUACCCUCAAUUUAGCCAUACCUGCCCAAAGGAGGAUUAACAAUGAGAAAGAAAAGUUAGAAUCAAGUAAUCUUAGUGCUAUUUUAUGAAAAGAACUAAAUGAAUAGCUUUGAAUAAAGUUUAUAAACAGGUAACACCAGUGACAAUUUUCAUGAAAAAUGCAUUUUACAAAAUGGCUGCUGCAAGGUAUCAAACCACAUGUUGUCAGUCAUGGUAUACUCACUAAAUUAAGUAGUUUAAUCCAUUUAUAUUCUAGAUUUUUUUUUUUUUUAAUUCUCUAACAAUAAAGUAGGUCAUACCAGUGACUUCAACUAAAAGCUUCAUAUGAAAUUAUGAUUUUCUAAUUAAAAUUUCUGAUAACUGAAAAGAGAUAGCGGACUUCCCCUUGGCCUUUCUUCAUUGAUCUUCAGGAAACAGGAAAAAGGAAGUCAAGUGAUGUCAUCUGUGUCAUUUUUUAUUUAAAAAUAAGAGAUUUUUGUUAAAGGAAACACCAGUGACAUAACUCCAGGGGACCACUACAUGCAUUAUAUAUUUUAUAAUAUUUAUUCAGCAUUUUGUUUUUGUUUUUUAUGUCAUUUACAUAAUAUGUUUGAUAGUAUAAUUAUUGUAUUUUAAAUGGUAUAAAAAAACUGUUUUUGACCUCAAAAUAAAGUACUUUCCCUCUGUACAUGACUGUGGGGGCGAGCACUUCUUUGGCGCUUGGAAUUUUUAUAAUUAAUUAAAAAACAGAUAUUGCCACAUUGAUGGCUCAGGGAGGUGUAAUUGUUCAAAUAACAUUGUUUCGUUUUAAAAUAUAUAAAACUUGUAAUCCCAAAGCAUUUUCAACACUAAAAAAAUCUAAAGUUGAGAAAAGUGGACAUUUCUGUAGAAUGACCCAUAUAGUGAACACCUGAUGACCGCAAACAAAACACCCUCCAGAGCCAAAAAUCCAAUAAAAACAUUUGGCAAAAUGACAUGAUUACAGCAUCAACUGUGCUCUUGCUUUGUUGAGAAUACCUGGAUAAUACUGCCUCGGCACACUUGGUAAGUUGAAAUAAUAUCAUUCUUACGUGACAGCAGUGAAGUCUACCAAUAAGCUGACAAAUACGUCAUUAUCAUAAAUCGCUGUUCGUCCCAUAAUUAUGAAAUUGUAUAUGCCCAGUUAUAAUCGCUGAAAUGCAGCUGCUCGUGUACUUCCUAUGUAAAUAGAUAAAUACAUUGUUUGCAUUUAAUCAUAAGGUGCAAAUAGUAAGCAAACAUAGUGUCUACUAAACCACAAAAUCUGCUAGCGAUCUAUUGAUGGUAAUAUUAGCUAACAUGCAGUCUGAAUUUGUUAUACAUUCUGCUGUACAAAAUCUAUGAUCGCUGUAGCUUCAUUUAAUAUGCGAAUACAAAGCGAAAAGCCGCUUUUAUAGAGUUCAGCAAAACUCAUCUCUGAAUAAAAGCUAAUCUCAUAUUGGCUAGCUUCUUAUAUGCUUAGUGAAUCUCUGAGUAUUAAAACAGACUGUUCACCAACACGUGAAUUAAACCUCAUUUAUUGUUACUUCAUCAUGAACUGAUAAAGGAGACCACACAAAAAAGACGGAAGCUGCUUUUAAGUAAUGCGCCUUAUUUGAGAGUUGCCAGUGGACUACUUGAACUGAGCCUCAUGACGUACUUCCGACUUGAAGUGUUACGGCUCGCUAGUUUCCAGUUUGGCUGCCAUUGUUUGGGUUUGUUUUAAAAUGUUUAAAAAAGAAAAUACUUUUCGAUUUCAGAAACAGCAAAAGAAAACCCACAAACACCGUUGUUCCGCUGUGUACAGCAUCGUCAAAGUUUAACGGAACUUUAAGUUUCUACUGCUUUCCUUGCGAAACCGAGCUUAGAAAAUGGUGGCUAGUGAACAUACGGCGAGAUGAUUUUACUGGUUCUAGUCGUUCUAAGGUUUGUAGCAAACAUUUUAAUAAAGAUCAGAUUAUUGAACCACAGACAGUAUGGACUCUGAGAAAGUUAGUAACUGGUGCAGUGCCAGAGCUCUUCAUUUGGAACGACUACACAAUUCAAGCCCCUCGGCCAAGUGUGUGGGAGAGGAGAGAGAGACCUGUCGAGGUGGUGUCCGCUGAACCCGUUCCCACUGAUGCAUCCAUGGAUCACGAUUACUGUAAUGUUCCCGAGCCAUCAUCACUAGACCUGGCAUGUGCUAAAAUUGAAGAGCUCUCCCAAGAAGUGGAAGAGCUGAAUAAACAGCUAAAUGAGCUACGCAUUCAGCGUGAUUGGAGCGGUUAGCCAGCUCAGAUGAGGACAUUAGAUUUUACACAAGGUAAGCCUGAAGUUUGGUAAAACACCUUGUGGUUAUAAAACGAGCUCAAUAUACGUUGACAGCAUAUACUCAUAUAGAUGCAUGAUUAUUACAAACACCGCUUCUGCAAACAGGUUCCCCAGCUACCGUCAUCUGAUGUCCUUUUGGUGGCUAAUCAAGCCAUCCAUCCACAAAAUCAUUUGUGUUUCCAGGUCCAAAGCUGCUGCUAGGAACCAUGAAGAGAUUACACAUGCAUGACCAUCAGUGAGACAACUGCUGCAGCCAAUCGAGGAGUUUUUUCUUUUCCUCAUGAAUCUGUCAGUUGGUUUGAAGGAGAGAGACCUAGCACACCGUUUCCACGUGCACCCAUCCAAAGUGAGCAGAAUCAUUUCAACAUGGACAAACUACCUCUAUUCACUGUUGGGAUUGGUGUGUGUGUGUGUGUGUGUGUGGCUUUCAGCAGCUGAAGUUAAAUUUAACCUCCCUGAAGAGUUCAGUGAUUUCCCGGACACACACGUUAUCAUUGACUGCACUGAGCUCAGAUGUCAAACACCGUCCUCGCCACUAAUCCAAAGUGAAAUGUACUUAAGUUACAAAUCUCACUGCACAAUGAAAGCCCUCAUUGGGAUAGCUCCUCAUGGUGCAGUGACAUUCGUCUCUCAGCUUUAUGCUGGGUCAAUGAGUGACAAGGAAAUCUUUAAACAGUGCAGAAUAUCCAAAAGACUGACAGAAGACAUAGCAAUCAUGGUAGACAAGGGCUUCCUGGUUAGUGACUGUGUCAAGUGCAAAGUGUACUGUCCACCAUUCCUGUCUAAGGUAAAGCAGAUGCCGGCACAUCAGGUGAAAUAAACACAAGCCAUAGCACGACUGUGAGUGCAUGUGGAAUGUGUCAUCAGGAGGAUAAAACAAAACAAACUGUUUGAUGGUAUCAUCACACUUUCCCACAUUGUUAAUAUUAGUGAACUUUUUACAGUUGCAUGCCUGUUGUAAAAUGAUCAAAACAUGGCAUUAGUUAAGACGGGUCAAAUAAGGCAGAAUCUUGCUCUUAUUGGUAGUUUCCAUGUUUUCAUUUUGUGUACUAAUUUCUUCCAAAUUCUUAUGGCUUUCUUUAAUCAUUAUUGUUUCUAUGGCAAUUUUCAGUAAAUGACAACUCUUAAUGUUUGUAUAUUUUAAAAAAGAAACAAUCUGCCAUGAUACAAGCAAGGUAAAUUAACUUUGUACAUUAUUUUUCAAGAAACUGGCAUUGUACAUAUGAAUAUAAAAACACAUUGGAUAUUAGUAGAGCAUGCAGUUUGUGUGUUUGGAAUAGUGCUGCAUGAUCAAUUAAAUAUUUACAUAUUUAGAUAUAGAUAUUUACAUAAAAAGUGAUGUCUGUUCAGGGGUCAAUUUAAUGUUUCAGUCAGUGCUUUUUUAAUGACUUUUUUCAUUUCACUGACUUCUUUAUAAUUUAAUUUAUAAAUGUUUAAUUGACAAGUAUUUGUGCAUAUAUGUGUAAAAGUAAAAAUAAUAAAUCUUCUCUCGAAUAACUUUGUGCUUGGAAGUGUCACUGUGUAUACGUUGGACAACAUAAUCUUCCUGGGCCCACGCCAUGAAGUCAUACCACUGCAUUCCUGAGAUCAGUAGUUGUCCCUGUACUUGCCAAUAGUAUGCAUGACUUUUAUUUAGAGUAAGAAACCCAUUUUCCAUUUGCAAAUAUUUGCAGUCAACAAUGUUUCUGACAUUGGAGCAUUUAAUUUCAACAAGCCCAAAUUGGGGAUAUAUUUGGUGGGAUCAAACACUACACCAUCAGUGGAUGCACCAAGCCAGGGAGCAUCAGGAUGGAAGAUUAGGCCACAGGGUGAGUAGUUAACAUUUGUCAACUUGCUGUAUUCCACUGUUUCCUUUGACACCAUUUCAGCACCUCUUCUCAUGUCUGCUGUUUGCCGGCUUCCCCUGAUGAUCCGCUCUGCGAGGGACCCAGCAGAGGCCUCUGACAUGGCACACCUCCCUAAACCUGGAGGCUGUUACUCUUGGUUUGCAAAGCUGAUGCCAAGAGCUUUUUUCACGUGUUGCCUCUUCAAUUUUCUGAGCUAUAUCUAAUGGUAUGUUUAAACUUUUAAGGUGUAAAAGCUCCUCUUCAGUGCAAACAGAGAUACAUUUAGAUGGAGCAAGAUUAUAUCCUUCCAGAGGCAAAGGUGGGUUUGAUGGAGUGUGUAGUUUGAUGUACCGUGAUGUUAAGACAGGCUGCUGGUAUGACAAUAUACUUCCUUCCUGAACCAAUCCGAAUGCACUUUCUAGAAGUGGUUUUUCAGAUGACAUGUUCAUAGUGGUAACUAGUGGCUUGUCCUCAAGGGUGAAUUCUGAAUAUGCCUCCACAACUCUGAACAAGCAUGUAUCUGGUAAAUCGCCUACCAUCCCUCUGUAGACUCCACUUCUGUAAAGAGAUGUUUAGCAUGAGAAUUGUUGUUGCUAAUGUUACACUGUUGUGUUAUUCCCCUAAAUAGCAUGGAUUUUACACAUGGAUAAUCUGGAUUUUAAAUGCUUAUGAACACUUUAAAAGAAUG